rnacentral:rRNA from 1 species
UACGAGGGGGGCAAGCGUUGUUCGGAAUUAUUGGGCGUAAAGGGCGCGUAGGCGGUGCGGUAAGUCACCUGUGAAAACUCUGGGCUCAACUCAGAGCCUGCAGGCGAAACUGCCGUGCUUGAGUGUGGGAGAGGUGCGUGGAAUUCCCGGUGUAGCGGUGAAAUGCGUAGAUAUCUGGAGGAACACCGGUGGCGAAGGCGGCAUCCUGGACCGGCAUUGACGCUGAGGAGCGAAAGCUGGGGGAGCAAACAGG